UACGGAGGGGGCAAGCGUUGUUCGGAAUUACUGGGCGUAAAGAGCGCGCAGGCGGUCGUUCAAGUCGCGUGUGAAAGCCCCCGGCUCAACUGGGGAGGGUCACGCGAUACUGAUCGACUCGAAGGCAGGAGAGGGUAGUGGAAUUCCCGGUGUAGUGGUGAAAUGCGUAGAUAUCGGGAGGAACACCUGUGGCGAAAGCGGCCACCUGGACUGCUCCUGACGCUGAAACGCGAAAGCUAGGGGAGCGAACGGG
rnacentral:rRNA from 1 species